UGGGGAAUAUUGCACAAUGGGCGAAAGCCUGAUGCAGCAACGCCGCGUGAGUGAUGAAGGCCUUCGGGUCGUAAAGCUCUGUCCUUAAGGAAGAUAAUGACGGUACUUGAGGAGGAAGCCCCGGCUAACUACGUGCCAGCAGCCGCGGUAAUACGUAGGGGGCUAGCGUUAUCCGGAAUUACUGGGCGUAAAGGGUGCGUAGGUGGUUUCUUAAGUCAGAGGUGAAAGGCUACGGCUCAACCGUAGUAAGCCUUUGAAACUGAGAAACUUGAGUGCAGGAGAGGAGAGUAGAAUUCCUAGUGUAGCGGUGAAAUGCGUAGAUAUUAGGAGGAAUACCAGUUGCGAAGGCGGCUCUCUGGACUGUAACUGACACUGAGGCACGAAAGCGUGGGGAGCAAACA
rnacentral:rRNA from 1 species